rnacentral:tRNA from 1 species
UCCCUGGUGGCUCAGUGGUAAAGAAUCUGUUUGCAAUGCAGGAGACCCAGGUUCGAGCCCUGGGUUGGGAA